UACGUAGGGUGCGAGCGUUAAUCGGAAUACUGGGCGUAAAGCGUGCGCAGGCGGUGAUGUAAGACAGAUGUGAAAUCCCCGGGCUCAACCUGGGAACUGCAUUUGUGACUGCAUCGCUGGAGUGCGGCAGAGGGGGGGGAUGGAAUUCCGCGUGUAGCAGUGAAAUGCGUAGAUAUGCGGAGGAACACCGAUGGCGAAGGCAAUCCCCUGGGCCUGCACUGACGCUCCAUGCAC
rnacentral:rRNA from 1 species